rnacentral:rRNA from 1 species
CAGCAGCCGCGGUAAUACCGGCGGCCCGAGUGGCGGCCACUCUUAUUGGGCUUAAAGCGUCCGUAGCCGGGUUGGUUAGUCUCCCGGGAAAUCUGGCCGCUUAACGGUCAGAAUUCCGGGAGAUACUGCCAGCCUAGGGACCGGGAGAGGCCGAGGGUAUUCCCGGAGUAGGGGUGAAAUCCUAUAAUCCCGGGAGGACCACCUGUGGCGAAGGCGCUCGGCUGGAACGGGUCCGACGGUGAGGGACGAAGGCCAGGGGAGCAAACCGGAUUAGAUACCCGGGUAGUCCUGGCUGUAAACGAUGCGGACUUUGUGUCGGACAAGCUAUGAGCUUGUCCGGUGCCGGAGGGAAACCGUUAAGUCCGCCGCCUGGGGAGUACGGCCGCAAGGCUGAAACUUAAAGGAAUUGGCGGG